rnacentral:rRNA from 1 species
UUGAACGCUGGCGGCAUGCUUUACACAUGCAAGUCGAACGGUAACAGGGAGCUUGCUCCGCUGACGAGUGGCGAACGGGUGAGUAAUGCAUCGGAACGUACCCAGUCGUGGGGGAUAACGUAGCGAAAGCUUUGCUAAUACCGCAUACGAUCUACGGAUGAAAGCAGGGGACCGCAAGGCCUUGCGCUCAUGGAGCGGCCGAUGGCAGAUUAGGUAGUUGGUGGGAUAAAAGCUUACCAAGCCGACGAUCUGUAGCUGGUCUGAGAGGACGACCAGCCACACUGGGACUGAGACACGGCCCAGACUCCUACGGGAGGCAGCAGUGGGGAAUUUUGGACAAUGGGCGCAAGCCUGAUCCAGCCAUGCCGCGUGCAGGAUGAAGGCCUUCGGGUUGUAAACUGCUUUUGUACGGAACGAAAAGACUCCUUCUAAUAAAGGGGGUCCAUGACGGUACCGUAAGAAUAAGCACCGGCUAACUACGU